rnacentral:lncRNA from 10 species
CCCUUUUUGCUACCCCUGAAGCUUACUGUUAGUGGUCGAGUUUUUCUGGAAGUGGGCUUCCGCGAUCGCGGGGACCAACGCCCUGAGCUCUUGUGCCCAAAGGGGAUCGCCAGGUUUUUUGAUGCGGAUCGAAAGGGACUGGCCCCGGAGCCUACAACCUGACGCAGGUGGACAAGGUGGAGGAGAGAGAAUUCCUUGGCAGUAGCAUUAUGAACAAAUGCAGGGCUGAGAAACAGCAUGGUGGCCUUGACUAAGUUUAUGGCGACAGCAGGAGCCCUCUACCUUCGCAAUUCCCGGUGCUGUGGAGCUGUCAGAGUUUUAACAUCUCAACCAAGCCACAUGGAUACUAUUUCCUCAGAAAAGACAAAAUUGAUCCAAGCAGAAGAGUGAACUCACCGAAGAGGACUCUCUACCCAUAACUGGGGAUGCCUCAGCCACUCACACUUACUCCAAGAUUAGUGUCACUGAUUAUGGAAAGAAUUGACUUCUUCCCCUGGUCUUGCUCAUUUUUCUAGAGCCCAGGACAAUAAAUGUGUUUUACGGCAGAGAAAAGU